CCCUUAGAUGUUCUGGGCCGCACGCGCGCUACACUGAUUCAUGCAACAAGUUUUGUCCUUGGCUGAUAGGCCUGGGUAAUCUUUGAACGUGAAUCGUGAUGGGGAUAGAUGAUUGCAAUUAUUCAUCUUCAACGAGGAAUUCCUAGUAAACGCAAGUCAUCAGCUUGCAUUGAUUACGUCCCUGCCCUUUGUACACACCGCCCGUCGCACCUACCGAUUGAAUGGUCCGGUGAAAUCUUCGGAUCUGAGAGAUGUCUGAUUAAUUUCGGACGCCUUUUGGAAAAGUUGUUUAAACCUUACCAUUUAGAGGAAGGUGAAGUCGUAACG
rnacentral:rRNA from 1 species